rnacentral:rRNA from 1 species
GAGUUUGAUUAUGGCUCAGAUUGAACGCUGGCGGCAGGCUUAACACAUGCAAGUCGAACGGUAGCAGGAGAAAGCUUGCUUUCUUGCUGACGAGUGGCGGACGGGUGAGUAAUGCUUGGGAAUCUGGCUUAUGGAGGGGGAUAACUACUGGAAACGGUAGCUAAUACCGCGUAAUAUCGAGAGAUUAAAGACUGGGACCUACGGGCCAGUUGCCAUAAGAUGAGCCCAAGUGGGAUUAGGUAGUUGGUGGGGUAAAGGCCUACCAAGCCCGCGAUCUCUAGCUGGUCUGAGAGGAUGACCAGCCACACUGGAACUGAGACACGGUCCAGACUCCUACGGGAGGCAGCAGUGGGGAAUAUUGCACAAUGGGGGGAACCCUGAUGCAGCCAUGCCGCGUGAAUGAAGAAGGCCUUCGGGUUGUAAAGUUCUUUCGGUGGUGAGGAAGGUAUCAACUUUAAUAGAGUUGGUAA